rnacentral:tRNA from 1 species
UCCCUGGUAGCCUAGUGGUUAAGGAUCCCGUGUUGUCACUGCUGUGGCUUGGGUUCGAUUCCUGGCCAGGGAA